rnacentral:rRNA from 1 species
CUACGGGUGGCUGCAGUGAGGAAUAUUGCACAAUGGGGGGAACCCUGAUGCAGCAACGCCGCGUGGAGGAUGACGCAUUUCGGUGUGUAAACUCCUUUUAUAUGUCAAGAAAAUGACGGUAGCAUAUGAAUAAGCACCGGCUAACUCCGUGCCAGCAGCCGCGGUAAUACGGAGGGUGCAAGCGUUACUCGGAAUCACUGGGCGUAAAGGACGCGUAGGCGGGUUGGAAAGUCAGGUGUGAAAUCCUACAGCUUAACUGUAGAACUGCACUUGAAACUUCUAAUCUAGAGUAUGGGAGGGGAAGAUGGAAUUAGUGGUGUAGGGGGAAAAUCCGUAGAAAUCAAUAGGAAUACCGAAAGCGAAGGCGAUCUCCUGGAACGUUACUGACGCUAAGGCGGGAAAGCGUGGGGAGCAAACGGGAUCAGAUACCCUAGUGGUC